AUGUAAUGUACUCUUUCUUCGGAACACCGGUGACAGGUGGUGCAUGGUUGUCGUCAGCUCGUGUCGUGAGAUGUUGGGUUAAGUCCCGCAACGAGCGCAACCCCUGUCCUUAGUAGCCAGCAGUUCGGCUGGGCACUCUAGGGAGACUGCCAGGGAUAACCUGGAGGAAGGCGGGGAUGACGUCAAAUCAUCAUGCCCCUUAUGACUUGGGCUACACACGUGCUACAAUGGCGUAAACAAAGGGAAGCGAAAAGGUGACUUCUAGCAAAUCCCAAAAAUAACGUCCCAGUUCGGACUGUAGUCUGCAACUCGACUACACGAAGCUGGAAUCGCUAGUAAUCGCGAAUCAGAAUGUCGCGGUGAAUACGUUCCCGGGUCUUGUACACACCGA
rnacentral:rRNA from 1 species